CUACGGGGGGCAGCAGUUAGGAAUAAUCUACAAUGCACGCAAGUGUGAUAGUUUGAGCCAGAGUGUUUUUCUUUUUGAAAAACUUUUGCCAAAUGUAAAAAGUUUGGCGAAUAAGGACUGGGUAAGACGAGUGCCAGCCGCCGCGGUAAUACUUGCGGUCCAAGUCGCAGCCAUAUUUAUUGGGUCUAAAACAUCCGUAGCUUGUUUGAUAAGUUUCUUGUGAAAUUUUGUAUCUCAAGUGCAAAGCGGGCAAGAAGUACUAUCAAACUAGAGACUGGGAGACGGAAGAAGUACGUUCAAAGUAGCGGUAAAAUGUGUUAAUCUUGAGCGGACUCACAAUAGCGAAGGCAUCUUCCGAGAACAGUUCUGACAGUAAGGGAUGAAGGCUCGGGGCGCAAAACGGAUUAGAUACCCGGGUAGUC
rnacentral:rRNA from 1 species